rnacentral:rRNA from 1 species
CAGCCGCCACGGGAAUACGAAGGGUGCAAGCGUUACUCGGAAUUACUGGGCGUAAAGCGUGCGUAGGUGGUGGUUUAAGUCCGUUGUGAAAGCCCUGGGCUCAACCUGGGAAUUGCAGUGGAUACUGGGUCACUAGAGUGUGGUAGAGGAUAGUGGAAUUUCCGGUGUAGCAGUGAAAUGCGUAGAGAUCGGAAGGAACAUCUGUGGCGAAGGCGACUAUCUGGGCCAACACUGACACUGAGGCACGAAAGCGUGGGGAGCAAACAGGAUUAGAUACCCAGUAGUCCCUGUCUCUUAUACA